AUACGGAGGGUGCGAGCGUUACUCGGAGUCACUGGGCGUAAAGCGCGCGCAGGCGGCUAUUUAAGUUGGAUGUGAAAGCCUACGGCUCAACCGUAGAACUGCAUCCAAAACUAUUUAGCUAGAGUGUGGGAGAGGAAGAUGGAAUUAGUUGUGUAGGGGUAAAAUCCGUAGAGAUAACUAGGAAUACCAAAAGCGAAGGCAAUCUUCUGGAACACUACUGACGCUGAGGCGCGAAAGCGUGGGGAGCAAACGGGAUUAGAAACCCUUGUAGUCC
rnacentral:rRNA from 1 species